UACUGCUCCGCGCAAUGGUAGCGCGUUCGACUUUAGAUCGAAAGGUAGGGCGUUCGAUCCGCUCAGUGGUCA
rnacentral:tRNA from 1 species